rnacentral:rRNA from 1 species
AACGAACGCUGGCGGCAUGCCUAACACAUGCAAGUCGAACGAGACCUUCGGGUCUAGUGGCGCACGGGUGCGUAACGCGUGGGAACCUGCCCUUAGGUUCGGAAUAACUCCCCGAAAGGGGUGCUAAUACCGGAUAAUGUCUUCGGACCAAAGAUUUAUCGCCUUUGGAUGGGCCCGCGUUGGAUUAGCUAGUUGGUAGGGUAAAAGCCUACCAAGGCGACGAUCCAUAGCUGGUCUGAGAGGAUGAUCAGCCACACUGGGACUGAGACACGGCCCAGACUCCUACGGGAGGCAGCAGUGGGGAAUAUUGGACAAUGGGCGAAAGCCUGAUCCGGCAAUGCCGCGUGAGUGAUGAAGGCCUUAGGGUUGUAAAGCUCUUUUACCCGGGAUGAUAAUGACAGUACCGGGAGAAUAAGCUCCGGCUAACUCCGU